AAAGAAACACUCAACCGCUUCAAAGAAACACUCAGUCGCUUCUCCUCUCCCUCUCAUCACCUGCCUCUCUCCCUCUCUCGAUUUAUCCAAACACUCAGCGGCCGGAGGAACAAGUUCAGAUGGCGCAAAUGGAAAACGAAACGAGGAUCGUGUUCGAUGGUGAACGAAUGGAGGAUCGAAACAGGGUCGUGUUCGAUGGAGAAAUUUCUUGUUCUCACUUCUCUCACUCACUCAUUCAUGGUGAGUAAAAGACUUUGAACCAAUUAUCUCACUCUACAGGUUGCUGGGAAAGAUGGCAUAACUGCAUUUCAGAUGGACAAUAAGGGAUAUUAAUGUAUUGGCAUUACAAGUUGCUGGCAUUACUUUGCCCAUAAUGAGAGAAGCACUACUACAGGCAAGAGAUGGCAGGAAGCAUAUACUUGGAGAAAUGAUGAAAUGCUUGCCCCUCCAGCUAAAAGUCUUUCCAAGUAUGCUCCUUUGAUUCACAUUAUGAAGUUUAGGUCAGACCGGAUAAAAUAAAUCUUAUAAUUGGCUCUGGUGGGAAAAAAGUGAAGAGCAUUAUUGAGCAAUCUGGAAUAGAGGCUAUUUAUACCGAAGAUAAUGGAACUGUAUGUCAGCAAUCAGCUUAUUUUCUCUGACUAUUGCAGUACUUUUUGUGGAUAUAUCAUUAGUAAUUUGAUAAUAGUUCCAAAUAUUGGUGAUAUGUAUAAGUAAAUAUCCCUUUAUUCUUCUGCUUAUAUUGAUAUGUUACUCGGUUCCAACUAUUGGUAAUAUAUGAGUAAUUAUUUCUCUUUUCUUAUGUUUAUAUCGGACUGUUGUUUGAACUGACAUGACUAUUUUCAAUGGUAUAAGCAAGUGAGCUUAAAAAAAAUACUUGAAAGUAUGUAAUUUUUUGAAGUAUUCCUUGAGAGUGAAACAUUUGCGAGUGAUCCAGUGUUCAAAGUAUUCCUAAAGAGUGAAACAUUUGUCUUUUCAUGUCUUGUUUCUAUGACUAUUCAUAUGUCUUUUGAACAGGUUCAUGGUUGAUCCAUCAGGUUUUCUCCUCCAAAGAAAAGGACUGGCUGUUACUAACUUAGGGUAUGUUUGGAUUGAUGGAAGAGAGUGGAAUGGAAUGGAGCGGAAUGGUAUUAACUUAUGUUCCAUUGUUUGGAUUGAUUAAAAACGGAUGGAAUGGAGCGGAACCCGAUGGAAUGCAUUCCAUCCCAUUCCAUCACUUUCCAUCAUUUUUUAUACCCUCCGAUUUGGACGGAAUGACAAAAUAUUUAUAUUCCGUCAUGAAAUACCCAAACAAUGGAACGCCAUCUUUAUUUCAUUCCGCUCCGUUCCGCUCCAUUCCGCUCCACUCCAUUCCGCUCCGUUCAUUUUAGUCUAUCCAAACAUAGCCUUAGUGAACUAGCAAUUAUAACUACUUGAUGUAUUUGGGUAAUAUUCUUUAUUAAUCAUGUACAUUAAUCAUGUGCUAUAUGCUUUACAUUUAUAACAUGUGUGUGAUUUUCCUAUUCAGGUCUAUAUGUAUUGAUACUGUUGGGGAAUGUUCGGGUUGGUCAGAACUAAAUUUUGAAUACAAGGAAGCACCUCUAGGGAUGAUUAUU